rnacentral:rRNA from 1 species
UACAGAGGGUGCGAGCGUUGUCCGGAAUCACUGGGCGUAAAGGGCGCGUAGGUGGCGACCCAAGUCUGUGGUGAAAGCUCGACGCUCAACGUCGAGUCGGCCAUAGAUACUGGGUUGCUUGAGCACUGUAGAGGCAGAUGGAAUUCCGGGUGUAGCGGUGGAAUGCGUAGAUAUCGUAAGGAAGACCAGUGGCGAAGGCGGGUCUCUGGACAGUUCCUGACGCUGAGGCACGAAGGUCAGGGGAGCAAACGGG